GUAGACAUUGUGAGUGUCGACGAAGGGCGCGGCCCCUCGCUAAUGUGAAACACGCGGGGUGCGUAGACGUCCGAGAGAUAAGCAAGCUGGACGGCGUCGAUGUGCCUUCCGGAAUUUUCCCGAACCCACGAAAGUGACCGCAGAUCUGCACGGCCGAAAGGCGGCUGCCCAUAGACAGCGCGCGUUUCGGUGCGGCGGCCGAAGGCCCCCGGGGGGUUGGAAGCCGGCAGUUCGUCGGGAAGCGGAGCGGCAGGAGCGCGAAAAUCCGUCGCGCUUUCUGAAGGCCGACGCAGGGCUAGAACGGCCGAAGCGCUUGCGAGGAGCUCCUGCCCUUC
rnacentral:misc_RNA from 1 species